GGGGAUAUGGCGACGGGUGAGUACACGUGGGCAAUCUGCCCUUCACUCUGGGACAAGCCCUGGAAACGGGGUCUAAUACCGGAUAACACUCUGUCCCGCAUGGGACGGGGUUAAAAGCUCCGGCGGUGAAGGAUGAGCCCGCGGCCUAUCAGCUUGUUGGUGGGGUAAUGGCCUACCAAGGCGACGACGGGUAGCCGGCCUGAGAGGGCGACCGGCCACACUGGGACUGAGACACGGCCCAGACUCCUACGGGAGGCAGCAGUGGGGAAUAUUGCACAAUGGGCGAAAGCCUGAUGCAGCGACGCCGCGUGAGGGAUGACGGCCUUCGGGUUGUAAACCUCUUUCAGCAGGGAAGAAGCGAAAGUGACGGUACCUGCAGAAGAAGCGCCGGCUAACUACGUGCCAGCACGGGG
rnacentral:rRNA from 1 species